rnacentral:lncRNA from 1 species
GAGUUACAGUAAUCCAUCCUGGAAGUGACAAACAUAUGAUACCAUGUGGCUUGAUCCUGUGGGAAGAAGGGUGGAAUUUCCUAUGGGUGCAGAUGCAUAAAGAAAAAGGACAUUUUUUAAGACUGAACACCCUUCCUGGCUGUCCCAGGUAUGAUGAACUGGAUCCAAGAUGGGAAUGCAGUAAAGAGACGAGAGAUCAAGGGAAGAGGAAGCAAAGUGACUCACAACAAGCAGAAGCACUGGAAGAAAACCAAGAUUUCUUUUCCAUCCAGUUAACAUUCAGUGCUGUAGGCUGCAUGACAUCUUUGAGCUAACGUUACUCAUUUCUUAAGAAACCAGAAGGAAAAAGUGAUGGGAAGCAAGAAGAAAGAAUGGCUAAAAUAAAUAAGUUGAGCUGACACUGUAUCUGCUUUCA